GGAUACGCAAUUAGCGAGCCGCAAGCUAUGUUGAAUAUUCUGGAGCCAACAAGGCAAACCACUUUUCGAGGUUCACGCACUAUCUUCUCCUCAGUCACGUGCAUGCGAAUUGCAUGCCACGUUGGACCCCAAUGCAUCAUCUGGGUCCAUAUCAAACGCUUGGCUGCCACACACAUUCUACAAAGCCCCGAAGCAAGCAGCCUAAGCCUAGGUUGUGGUGGUGGGGAAGGCUGCUUCGGUCAGCAGUGGUGGCUGGCGGUGGCUGCGCUUUAGCUUCCCAAAACGAUUGGUUUUUUUGGCAAGCUAUCGCCGCUGGCCAUGGCUGUUCCUUUUGCAAAAUCACAUUUUUUGUGGAGUUUUCUGUCGAUUUUCUUACAUAUUUUGGCUGUUUUUCUGUUAUUAUUAACUACUUAUGUCUCUGCUCAUACCUUCUCUGAUAUUGGAAGUGAAGAUGUUGAUAGUAGUAGAAGGAAUGAUUUGUAUUCCGAAAUCUUGAGAGAUGAGGCUGUGGCAAGGCUCAAUGAGCUUGGAAAGGUACUAUUCGAGCUUUCUCCACUCUCUUUAAUUUAUAUGAUUAAAACUUCUUUUCUGCGUUUCACUUAGGCAGGCUACUGUUUGGUUUGCUCUGGAAAUGAGAAUGAAAUGCAACUUUUGGCUUGUUUAGUGGGAGGAAUUCAAAAUUUAUUUUAUGAUCUUGAUAUGAAUUUUAUCUAGUUAUUUUUAAAAUAAAGAUGGAAUAGGAUUCCUGGGCUUUAGACAUUCAAUUCUAUUCUCAUUCAAUCUCCAAGGCGAUUCAAUUAUGCCCUUAAUGAAAUAGCUAUAAUAGGUCUUCAUUAUUGUUUUAAGUACUUAUUUUUCUAAGCCUGAAGUACAAGCUUACGUUCAUUGUUGAGGCCAUCAAGCAGCAAGGUUUGAAGGAAUUGCAAUAACUGUUAGUAAUAUGGAUCAUCAUUAGCAUAUAUGUCCCAUCCAUCCACUUGUUCUUAAAUUUACUUUAUUACAAAACCCUUAUGCUCAUAAUUUAAUUUCAAGUUACAAUGAUUCCUGUGGAAGUCGCAGUUUGGUCUUCUUGAGCGCCAAUAAGAAUAUGAUUGCCUGUAUCAACAGGUGAGUGAUGCUGAUGGGUAUCUUGAAAGGACAUUCAUGAGUGCAGCUUCUCUGAGGGCUGGAAAUCUUAUUCGUUGUUGGAUGGAGGAUGCUGGUUUGACAACGUUAGCAUUCUUCCUUUUCGUACUGUGAACAAGAUUUCUGAAAAGCUUGACUGAUGCGUAUACACUUUCCAGGUGGUUUGACCACAUGGGCAAUUUACAUGGUCGUUUUGAAGGAAUGAAUCGAAGUGCUGAGACUUUAUUGAUUGGUUCUCAUUUGGUGAUAUUCCUAUUGCAUUUUCCUCUUGCAAAUUUUUAAUAUUUUUUUGCCUUUUUAUUUUCAUAGUAGGCAAAAAGCAUGUGGUGUAUCAGUACUAAGAAUUGAGUGUUUUGUUUCCUUAAUAGGAUACUGUUGUUGACGCUGGGAAAUUUGAUGGGUCAUUGGGCAUAAUCUCAGCAUUGUCUGCCUUAAAGGUGUUGAAAAGCAAUGGAAUGCUGGCAAAAUUAAAACGGCCUGUUGAGGUAAAAGACAAUGAACAGAUUAUUCUCGACUGGGCUGGAAGGAUGGUGGAGCUACUGCAAUCUCAGUUCUCUAUGAGCGAAGCUUGUAAGAGCCAGGUUAUUGCAUUUAGCGACGAGGAGGGAGUGAGGUUUCAGUCUACUUUCUUGGGCAGUGCUGCUAUAGCUGGAAUUUUACCGGUCUCAGCAUUGCAGAUAUCUGAUAAGAGUGCAAGACAGUCUGAAGGAGAACUCUGUAGGAAUUACUGAAGAAAGUCUAUUGCAACUCAAAUAUGAUCCAAAGUCUGUUUGGGGUUAUGUUGAGGUUCAUAUUGAACAAGGACCUCUACUAGAAUGGGUUGGUUUUCCUCUAGGUGUGGUUAAAGGCAUAGCUGGACAGACACGGCUAAAGGAUUAUCUCCUUCAGACACUUCAUGCCGCACUUCCUCUCCAUCAUCUACUUGCUUGCAAUUGAAACAGAACUCCAUCACUCUCAGAUGCUUGCAUAGCCAUAACAGACUUCUGCUGUUUACAUUGAUGACCGGGGAAGUAUUUCUCCCCACAUUUAAAACAUGGCCUUGGUUGUGUGAUGGUAUUGGUACUGUUAUUAACAACAAUAUUUGUUUUGGGUGCAGGUUAAGUGACAGAAACUUGACUGGAUGCAGAUGAAGAUUUCUUAUUAGUCACUGGUAGUUUAGGAUUAGAAUUUGGAUCUGAAUUGUGUGGUUUGGGUGUAUAGGAAUUGGUGAAGUGAGUCCUGGCAGAUCUGUAAGAAAAAGGUGCUGAAGAAGUGGAAGAUGCAGAUCUGAAAUUGUUUGAAUAAGGUCUAAGGUUGUGGUGAAAGGCUCACAAGGGCAUGCUGGCACUGUUCCAAUGUCUUUACGGCAAGACCCCAUGGCUGCUGCUGCAGAGUUAAUUGUACUGUUGGAAAGGCUCUGUAAAAAUCCUAAAGAUUUUCUGUCUUAUGAUGAUCAGUGCAAUGAUUCAACAAUUGAAUCACUUUCCAGUUCCCUUGUUUGUACUGUUGGGGAGAUAUCCACAUGGCCAAGUGCAAGUAAUGUCAUUCCAGGCCAGGUAACUUUCACGGUAGAUAUACGUGCUAUGGAUGAUAUGGGACGUGAAGCUGUCCUUUAUGAAUUAUCUAAUCAGAUGUAUCAAAUAUGUGAUAGGCGCUCUGUUUCUUGCAUCGUUGAAAGCAAGCACGAUGCAAAAGCAGUGGUCUGUGAUUCCGAACUAAGUUCACAGCUGAAGUUUGCAGCCAAUGUUGCACUCAAGAGAAUGACUGGUGAGAUUCAAGAUGAAGUUCCUAUAUUAAUGAGUGGAGCAGGACAUGAUGCAAUGGCCAUGUCUCAUCUAUCUAAGGUUGGGAUGCUAUUUGUCCGCUGCCGUGGAGGCAUAAGUCACUCUCCUGCAGAGCAUGUGUUGGAUGAUGAUGUCUGGGCUGCUGGGUUGGCAAUCGUGGCAUUUCUUGAGACCCACUUGUAAAUAGAGCAUUCAGUGAUUUUCGUACUGAAAAUAAUUUCUUUCUAGUAUAAUCAAUUUGUUAGUAUUUGUUGAUUGAAAUUUGUUUGCUGGUUUUAUAAUCACCGCAAGUGCAUGAAUCGCUAACAAGUAAUAAAGUAAUGAGUAGAGUAUCGUUCCCACGAGGACCAUGUUGAGUACCAAAUUAUAGUAAUUUUAAUUAUCUAGACGAUCAAAUUGUAUAGAAAUAAUAAUCAAAUCUAAAUUGAAAGAAACAAAGUCUAAAACAAUUAACAAAACUUGAAUA
rnacentral:misc_RNA from 1 species